UACGGAGGGUGCAAGCGUUGCUCGGAAUUAUUGGGCGUAAAGGGCAGGUAGGUGGUCUCAUUUGUCUACGGUGAAAUCCUUGGGCUUAACUCAAGAAGUGCCUUAGAAACGGUGAGACUGGAGUCCUGGAGAGGGUCGUGGAAUUCCCGGUGUAGCGGUGAAAUGCGCAGAUAUCGGGAGGAACACCGGUGGCGAAGGCGGUUCUCUGGGCCUUACCUGACGCUGAGGAGCGAAAGCGUGGGGAGCGAACAGG
rnacentral:rRNA from 1 species